CAGGACGAACGCUGGCGGCGUGCCUAAUACAUGCAAGUCGAGCGGAUUUAUCCUUCGGGAUAAGUUAGCGGCGGACGGGUGAGUAACACGUAGGCAACCUGCCUAUAAGACUGGGAUAACUAUCGGAAACGAUAGCUAAGACCGGAUAACUGAUUUUCUCGCAUGAGAAAAUUAUGAAACACGGAGCAAUCUGUGGCUUAUAGAUGGGCCUGCGGCGCAUUAGCUAGUUGGUAGGGUAACGGCCUACCAAGGCGACGAUGCGUAGCCGACCUGAGAGGGUGAACGGCCUCACUGGGACUGAGACACGGCCCAGACUCCUACGGGAGGCAGCAGUAGGGAAUCUUCCGCAAUGGACGCAAGUCUGACGGAGCAACGCCGCGUGAGUGAUGAAGGUUUUCGGAUCGUAAAGCUCUGUUGCCCUAGACGAACAGCAAGAGGAGUAACUGCCUUUUGUGUGACGGUAUAGGAGAAGAAAGCCCCGGCUAACUACGUGCCAGCAGCCGCGGUAAUACGUAGGGGGCAAGCGUUGUCCGGAAUUAUUGGGCGUAAAGCGCGCGCAGGCGGUCAAUUAAGUUGGGUGUUUAAGCCCGGGGCUCAACCCCGGUUCGCAUCCAAAACUGGUCGACUUGAGUGUAGGAGAGGAAAGUGGAAUUCCACGUGUAGCGGUGAAAUGCGUAGAGAUGUGGAGGAACACCAGUGGCGAAGGCGACUUUCUGGCCUAUAACUGACGCUGAGGCGCGAAAGCGUGGGGAGCAAACAGGAUUAGAUACCCUGGUAGUCCACGCCGUAAACGAUGCAUACUANGUGUCGGGGAUUCGAUUCCUCGGUGCCGAAGUAACACAAGUAGUAUGCCGCCUGGGGAGUACGCUCGCCAGAGUGAAACUCCAAGGAUU
rnacentral:rRNA from 1 species